GAUCAUGGCUCAGGAUGAACGCUAGCUACAGGCUUAACACAUGCAAGUCGAGGGGCAGCAUGGUCUUAGCUUGCUAAGGCCGAUGGCGACCGGCGCACGGGUGAGUAACNCGUAUCCAACCUGCCUUACACUCUUGGACAGCCUUCUGAAAGGGAGAUUAAUACAAGAUGUAUCAUAGUAGUAAGCCAUUUUACGCUAUGAUUAAGGUUACCGUUAGGUAAGUACGUGGGGAUG
rnacentral:rRNA from 1 species